rnacentral:rRNA from 1 species
GUCUAUGGCCCUACCACCUUGAACACAUUCAAUCUCAUCUGAUCUCAGGGGCUGAGGCUGCUCAGGUCUGGUUAGCAUUAAUAGUUAGACAGGAGACCAACUGGUAAUACCAGGUGCUGUAGGCU